AACGAACGCUGGCGGCAGGCUUAACACAUGCAAGUCGAACGCCCCGCAAGGGGAGUGGCGCACGGGUGAGUAACGCGUGGGAACCUACCUAUCGGUACGGAAUAACACAGGGAAACUUGUGCUAAUACCGUAUGAGCUCUACGGAGGAAAGAUUUAUCGCCGAUAGAUGGGCCCGCGUCCGAUUAGCUAGUUGGUGAGGUAACGGCUCACCAAGGCUUCGAUCGGUAGCUGGUCUGAGAGGAUGAUCAGCCACACUGGGACUGAGACACGGCCCAGACUCCUACGGGAGGCAGCAGUGGGGAAUAUUGGACAAUGGGCGCAAGCCUGAUCCAGCCAUGCCGCGUGAGUGAUGAAGGCCUUAGGGUUGUGAAGCUCUUUCGUCGGGGAAGAUAAUGACGGUACCCGAAGAAGAAGCCUCGGCUAACUCCGUGCCAGCCGCCGCUGUAAGAC
rnacentral:rRNA from 1 species